rnacentral:rRNA from 1 species
ACAGCAGUCGCCGCGGGAAUACGGAGGGGGCUAGCGUUGUUCGGAAUUACUGGGCGUAAAGCGCACGUAGGCGGCUUGGUAAGUUAGAGGUGAAAUCCUGGAGCUCAACCCCGGAACUGCCUUUGAUACUGGGAGUCUUGAGUUCGAGAGAGGUGAGUGGAAUUGCGAGUGUAGAGGUGAAAUUCGUAGAUAUUCGCAGGAACACCAAUGGCGAAGGCGGCUCACUGGCUCGAUACUGACGCUGAGGUGCGAAAGCGUGGGGAGCAAACAGGAUUAGAUACCCGCGUAGUCCCUGUCUCUUAUAA